rnacentral:tRNA from 1 species
AGCUCGGUGGCGGAAUUGGUCAGACGCACCUUUGAUUCCGAAAGGCGCCGUGGAAGUGGUAUUGCCGGUUCGAAUCCGGCCCGGGCUG